GAUGAACGCUGGCGGCGUGCCUAAUACAUGCAAGUCGAGCGAACAGACGAGAGUGCUUGCACUCUCUGACGUUAGCGGCGGACGGGUGAGUAACACGUGGGUAACCUACCUAUAAGACUGGGAUAACUUCGGGAAACCGGAGCUAAUACCGGAUAAUAUUUAGCUUCGCAUGAAGCAAUAGUGAAAGACGGUUCUGCUGUCACUUAUAGAUGGACCCGCGGUGUAUUAGCUAGUUGGUGAGGUAACGGCUCACCAAGGCAACGAUACAUAGCCGACCUGAGAGGGUGAUCGGCCACACUGGGACUGAGACACGGCCCAGACUCCUACGGGAGGCAGCAGUAGGGAAUCUUCCGCAAUGGACGAAAGUCUGACGGAGCAAUGCCGCGUGAGUGAAGAAGGUUUUCGGAUCGUAAAACUCUGUUGUAAGGGAAGAACAAGUACGUUAGUAACUGAACGUACCUAGACGGUACCUUACCAGAAAGCCACGGCUAACUACGUG
rnacentral:rRNA from 1 species